rnacentral:rRNA from 1 species
AACGAACGCUGGCGGCAUGCCUAACACAUGCAAGUCGAACGAGACCUUCGGGUCUAGUGGCGCACGGGUGCGUAACGCGUGGGAAUCUGCCCCUCGGUUCGGAAUAACAGUUAGAAAUGACUGCUAAUACCGGAUGAUGACUUCGGUCCAAAGAUUUAUCGCCGAGGGAUGAGCCCGCGUAAGAUUAGGUAGUUGGUGGGGUAAAGGCCUACCAAGCCGACGAUCUUUAGCUGGUCUGAGAGGAUGAUCAGCCACACUGGGACUGAGACACGGCCCAGACUCCUACGGGAGGCAGCAGUGGGGAAUAUUGGACAAUGGGCGAAAGCCUGAUCCAGCAAUGCCGCGUGAGUGAUGAAGGCCUUAGGGUUGUAAAGCUCUUUUACCAGGGAUGAUAAUGACAGUACCUGGAGAAUAAGCUCCGGCUAACUCCGUGCCAGCAGCCGCCGCCG